UCCUAGCCGUAAACGAUGGACACUAGUUGUUGGGGGCGUUUUGCUUUCAGCGACGUAGCUAACGCGUUAAGUGUCCCGCCUGGGGAGUACGCUCGCAAGAGUGAAACUCAAAGGAAUUGACGGGGCCCGCACAAGCGGUGGAGCAUGUGCUUUAAUUCGAUGCAACGCGAAGAACCUUACCUGGUCUUGACA
rnacentral:rRNA from 1 species